UCUAGCUCCUGCAUACCCUUGUGUUUACCCGCUCAGUGGGCUGGUGCCACCGCCUCCCGCUGCUUCUACACUUUUUCAUUGCUCCCUCCAACACACCUGUGAACCUGCUCUCCUUUGAUGCCCAUGGGGGCUUUGCUGUGAUCACUCCCGGUGCUCUUAUCUGCUGCUCAAUAUGUUUUUACAAGGAGUGAUAAGACACACAGCACUGGUGCCAAAUCACCGUCCCAGAUGUCCGUGGAGGAAGGAAGCAAAUGCUGACAACAAUGAAGUAAACGAGUCCACCGGUGUAGCAGCAACUUUUGGCACGGACGAUAGCUUGCCUUACAGGGAAAACAGCUUUCCGCAGAAGCCUAAGCAUAUGGUCGGCUCCUGUUUCGACAACAAGAUGCCGUGUCACCUUGCUAGCCACCUGUAGCCGGCGACCAGCCGACAGAGAGGGGGAUUUAAGUGCGUCUCCCGCUUAGAGAGUAGCAGGCCACCAGCUGCCCCUCCAUUUAAGAUCCUAACACCAGAGUAAGGAAAAGGGCAACAGAGAGCGCUGCCAUCCCUGCCCCCAGCCGCCCAACCACCUGUUUGACAUUCUGCCCUCUGGAUAAGACUUCCAGUGCAGCAGCGGCUGCGAUGCCUCCCUGAGCAGGAGCAUAACCGAACACUGGGCUCGCCCAAUAGGCUUCUACUGAGUGACAUUAGAAAAGAUGCAUACAUCACUAUAGUGCAUCUUGCGCUCACUCGGUCCAGCUACAAACAAAGGUCACGCACAUUGGACGCCUAGUAUGUUAUGCAUGUUAUCUGAAUAAUAAUGCGAU
rnacentral:lncRNA from 1 species